CUUGAUGUUUACAUGCAUAUUUUACAGCUGCUUACUACAGUGGAUGAUGGAAUUCAAGCAAUUGUACAUUGUCCUGACACUGGAAAAGACAUUUGGAAUUUACUUUUUGACCUGGUCUGCCAUGAAUUCUGCCAGUCUGAUGAUCCACCCAUCAUUCUUCAAGAACAGAAAACAGUGCUAGCCUCUGUUUUUUCAGUGUUGUCUGCCAUCUAUGCCUCACAGACUGAGCAAGAGUAUCUAAAGAUAGAAAAAGUAGAUCUUCCUCUAAUUGACAGCCUCAUUCGGGUCUUACAAAAUAUGGAACAGUGUCAGAAAAAACCAGAGAACUCGGCGGAGUCUAACACAGAAGAAACUAAAAAGACUGAUUUAACCCAAGAUGAUUUCCACUUGAAAAUCUUAAAGGAUAUUUUAUGUGAAUUUCUUUCUAAUAUUUUUCAGGCAUUAACAAAGGUAGGAAAGAAGUAUUGAUGAUGUCAUAAGCAAAAGAAAGUGUGGGUUGCUUAACUCUCCAAACUUUAUUUUUUUUAAAUAUGAAAAUAAUAUAUAAUUUGGGAAAAUAAAGUAAAAUCUUAAUAUCACCAUGAGUUUAUAAUCUUAAAAACAACUAGCUGAUGUAGUUUGGUAUAUUUGUGUGACAGACAUAUGCCUAUGUUUGCAUGCAUGUAUUUUUAUAAAUGCAUUUUUCAUAUACUUUAACCCAGCAUAUGCAAUUUUUAUAGACUACUGUUUUCCCUUAACACUAUAUUAUAAACAUUUUUCUUGAUUCU
rnacentral:sRNA from 1 species